rnacentral:rRNA from 1 species
AACGAACGCUGGCGGCAUGCCUAACACAUGCAAGUCGAACGAAGGCUUCGGCCUUAGUGGCGCACGGGUGCGUAACGCGUGGGAAUCUGCCCCUCGGUUCGGAAUAACAGUUAGAAAUGACUGCUAAUACCGGAUGAUGACUUCGGUCCAAAGAUUUAUCGCCGAGGGAUGAGCCCGCGUAAGAUUAGGUAGUUGGUGGGGUAAAGGCCUACCAAGCCGACGAUCUUUAGCUGGUCUGAGAGGAUGAUCAGCCACACUGGGACUGAGACACGGCCCAGACUCCUACGGGAGGCAGCAGUGGGGAAGAUGGGAAAAGGGGCGAAAGCCUGAUCCAGCAAUGCCGCGUGAGUGAUGAAGGCCUUAGGGUUGUAAAGCUCUUUUACCAGGGAUGAUAAUGACAGUACCUGGAGAAUAAGCUCCGGCUAACUCCGUGCCAGCCGCCGCGGUAA